GUCUAUGGCCAUAUCAGCCUGAACGCAUCCAAUCUCAUCUGAUCUCAGAAGCUAAGCAGGGUUGAUCCUACCUGGGAAAAUUUGUCU
rnacentral:rRNA from 1 species